rnacentral:rRNA from 1 species
CCUACGGGUGGCAGCAGUCGAGAAUCAUUCACAAUGGGGGAAACCCUGAUGGUGCGACGCCGCGUGGGGGAAUGAAGGUCUUCGGAUUGUAAACCCCUGUCAUGUGGGAGCAAAUUAAAAAGAUAGUACCACAAGAGGAAGAGACGGCUAACUCUGUGCCAGCAGCCGCGGUAAUACAGAGGUCUCAAGCGUUGUUCGGAAUCACUGGGCGGAAAGCGUGCGUAGGCUGUUUCGUAAGUCGGGUGUGAAAGGCGCGGGCUCAACCCGCGGACGGCACAUGAUACUGCGAGACUAGAGUAAUGGAGGGGGAACCGGAAUUCUCGGUGUAGCAGUGAAAUGCGUAGAUAUCGAGAGGAACACUCGUGGCGAAGGCGGGUGCCUGGACAUUAACUGACGCUGAGGCACGAAGGCAAGGGGAGCGAAAGGGAUUAGAUACCCUUGUAGUC